rnacentral:rRNA from 1 species
CCUACGGGCGGCUGCAGUGGGGAAUCUUCCGCAAUGGGCGCAAGCCUGACGGAGCGAUGCCGCGUGAGGGAAGAAGGCCUUCGGGUCGUAAACCUCUGUCACCCGGGACGAAACAAAUGACGGUACCGGGAAAGGAAGCCACGGCUAACCACGUGCCAGCAGCCGCGGUAACACGUGGGUGGCGAGCGUUAUUCGGAUUUACUGGGCGUAAAGGGUCCGCAGGGGGCCUGCCACGCCCGCCGUGAAAUUUCAGGGCUCAACCCUGAACCUGCGGCGGGUACGGGCGGGCUGGAGUGCAGGAUGGGCAGACGGAAUUCCAGGUGUAGCGGUGGAAUGCGUAGAUAUCUGGAAGAACACCGAUGGCGAAGGCGGUCUGCUGGCCUGCAACUGACCCUCAGGGACGAAAGCGUGGGUAGCAAACAGGAUUAGAUACCCCGGUAGUC